UAUCUCUGUAGAGUCUGCAUAUCAAUAAGCGGAGGAAAAGAAACUAACAAGGAUUCCCUUAGUAACGGCGAGUGAAGCGGGAAGAGCUCAAAUUUGAAAUCUUCAAGGUUCUACCUUGACGAAUUGUAGUUUAUAGAAGUGUUUUCUGUUAGUAGGAGUGGCAAAAGUUCUUUGGAAUAGGACAUCAUAGAGGGUGAGAAUCCCGUAUUUGAUCAUUCUUUCUAGCUUUGUGAUACACUUUCAACGAGUCGGAUUGUUUGGGAAUGCAGUCCAAAAUGGGUGGUAAAUUUCAUCUAAAGCUAAAUAUUGGCGAGAGACCGAUAGCGAACAAGUACCGUGAGGGAAAGAUGAAAAGAACUUUGAAAAGAGAGUUAAACAGUACGUGAAAUUGUCAAAAGGGAAGCGUUUGACACCAGUGUUGUUUUUCCGAAAAUCAAUUACGAAUGUUUUGUUUUUGAGAAGUUAUGACUUCAUCGGCUUGCUUCUUUCUUUACGAAACUUUCUUAAUGCACUUUUCGGUUAACAAGUCAACACUCAAUUUCUUUUGUUGUAAAAGGGUACGAGGAAGGUGGCUUUCUUUUCGGAGAAAGUGUUUAUAGCCUUGUGCCUCUGCAAUCGGAGAGAUUGAGGUCUGCAGCGUAGAUCCUUCGGGGUUAGAUACGUUUGUGCUAAGUUAUAGCUUUUCAUAGACAACUUGUUGACUAUGUUUAGUCUUGUAGCUUACUCGCUUAUGCUAUUUUACCUACGCUUAGGAUGUUGACGCAUGAGAUAUACGC
rnacentral:rRNA from 1 species